rnacentral:rRNA from 1 species
GAGUUUGAUCGUGGCUCAGAUUGAACGCUGGCGGCAUGCCUUACACAUGCAAGUCUAACGGCAGCAUGAUCUAGCUUGCUAGAUUGAUGGCGAGUGGCGAACGGGUGAGUAAUACAUCGGAACGUGCCCUGUAGUGGGGGAUAACUAGUCGAAAGAUUAGCUAAUACCGCAUACGACCUGAGGGUGAAAGUGGGGGACCGCAAGGCCUCAUGCUAUAGGGGCGGCCGAUGUCUGAUUAGCUAGUUGGUGGGGUAAAGGCCCACCAAGGCGACGAUCAGUAGCUGGUCUGAGAGGACGAUCAGCCACACUGGGACUGAGACACGGCCCAGACUCCUACGGGAGGCAGCAGUGGGGAAUUUUGGACAAUGGGCGAAAGCCUGAUCCAGCAAUGCCGCGUGUGUGAGAAGGCCU